rnacentral:rRNA from 1 species
ACCCCGUUACUUGGAACUGUGGUAAUUCUAGAGCUAAUACAUGCCGACAGAGUUCCAACCAAACGCGCGGCUUCGGUCGUCGCGUUUAGGAAGGAACGCUUUUAUUAGAUCAAAACCGGCUAAGCGGCGGUUACCUCGUGUUUCCGCCGUUAGUGGCCUGCGCAAAGAUUUGGUGACUCUGAAUAACUUCGAGCUGAUCGCACGGUCUCGUACCGGCGACGUAUCUUUCAAAUGUCUGCCUUAUCAACUGUCGACGGUAGGUUCGACGCCUACCGUGGUGGUAACGGGUAACGGGGAAUCAGGGUUCGAUUCCGGAGAGGGAGCCUGAGAAACGGCUACCACAUCCAAGGAAGGCAGCAGGCGCGCAAAUUACCCACUCCCAGCUCGGGGAGGUAGUGACGAAAAAUAACGAUACGGGACUCAUUCGAGGCCCCGUAAUCGGAAUGGUACA